CAAAAGUGCUGCCACCCAAAAAGAAAACAUAUAACUUGAAAGAAAAUCUAAGCAAUUUGCCUAGAGAAGAAUUCCCCACCAUUUAAAAAAAAAAAAACACUGAAACGAAGUUCGUCUUGCUUAUGUAUUGGAGUCAAAGCACAUGCACUUGGACACAGACGCAACAGUAACUCGGACACAGUUUAGAAAUUCGGCAAGCAAUGGUUGUCCCGCUCUAACUCGGAAAGGCGGCCACGCCGCACUGACGCCAUUGUAUGUGCAUGUGUGUGUGUGUAUGCAGCAUGGGACGCUGCCGGCUUCUUCUAUAAAAGCCCUGCAGGCUGCAGCUGUGCUUCGUUUUGCUCGUUUGCUUCGUUUGCGGCUGGCGGCCACAUCUCCCACAUUUAUCUUUAAUUUUAAGCUAGUCUACUGUCUUUCAGCUUCAGGUGAGUUAUUUGCAUUGGUAUUCUGCAGUAUGGAAGAAGUGUGUAUAGAAUUAUUUCCCACAGGUGUCGCUGGAUCUCUGCUUCUGGAUCCAGUCGUGAAGGGAUGUCUUCUGAUGCUCUCGUCUGCUGGCCUGUAUGCUGAUAGUUGGAGUGCUGGCUCAGAUUCAAUGCUGUGUUCGCCUUGUGCUGCUUUCUCUGUACACAUUUUAAGCCUACACAUUACACUACAACCAAAGACUGUUUAAGAUAUUUUUCUUGUUCCAGCUUUUUAUAUAUGUGUGUAUGUUUUUUUUUCUCUUCUCACCGACCAUUUCACC
rnacentral:lncRNA from 1 species